rnacentral:misc_RNA from 1 species
UACGUAGGGUCCGAGCGUUGUCCGGAAUCAUUGGGCGUAAAGCGCAUGUAGGCGGCCCUUUAAGUCGGAUGUGAAAUCCCGAGGCUCAACUUCGGAACUGCAUCCGAUACUGGGGGGCUUGAGGAAGGUAGAGGAGAGUGGAAUUCCCGGUGUAGCGGUGGAAUGCGCAGAUAUCGGGAGGAACACCAGCGGCGAAGGCGGCUCUCUGGGCCUCUCCUGACGCUGAGAUGCGAAAGCGUGGGUAGCGAACAGG